UCAAAAACAUGUCUUAUUGAAAAUAAUUUUAAGUUUGACCUGCCCACUGAUUUAUUUUAAAUGGCCGCAGUAUCUUGACUGUGCUAAGGUAGCAUAAUCAUUAGUUUCUUAAUUAGAAGCUGGAAUGAAUGGUUGGAUGAAACAAUGGUUGUCUCUAUUUAAUUGGUUUAGAAUUUUAUUUUUUAGUAAAAAAGCUAAAAUAUUUUUGAAAGACGAGAAGACCCUAUAGAGUUUUAUAAAUUAAUUGCUUUAAUUUUAGUAGAAUAUAAAUUUUUAAUUUAAUAAUUUAUUUGAUUGGGGUGAUUGAAAAAUUUAAUUAACUUUUUUUAAAAUUAAAACAUUGAUUUAUGAACAAUUGAUCCAUUAGUUAUGAUUAUAAGAUUUAAUUACCUUAGGGAUAACAGCGUAAUAUUAUCUAAGAGUUCUUAUCUAAGAUAAAGAUUGCGACCUCGAUGUUGGAUUAAAAUAAUUAUCGGUGUAGAAGUUGAUAGUGUUAGGUCUGUUCGACCUUUAAAAUUUUACAUGAUCUGA
rnacentral:rRNA from 1 species